AUUAAUUCGAUGCAACGCGAAGAACCUUACCAAGGCUUGACACACACCGGUAACGCCCAGAGAUGGGUGCCCCUUUGUGGUCGGUGUACAGGUGGUGCAUGGUUGUCGUCAGCUCGUGUCGUGAGAUGUUGGGUUAAGUCCCGCAACGAGCGCAACCCUCGUCCUAUGUUGCCAGCGGGUCAUGCCGGGGACUCAUGGGAGACUGCCGGGGUCAACUCGGAGGAAGUGGGGAUGACGUCAAAUCAUCAUGCCCCUUAUGUCUUGGGCUUCACGCAUGCUACAAUGGCCGGUACAAAGGGCUGCGAUACCGCGAGGUGGAGCGAAUCCCAGAAAGCCGGUCUCAGUUCGGAUUGGGGUCUGCAACUCGACCCCAUGAAGUCGGAGUCGCUAGUAAUCGCAGAUCAGCAACGCUGCGGUGAAUACGUUCCCGGGCCUU
rnacentral:rRNA from 1 species